rnacentral:lncRNA from 1 species
CUCAGUUCAAAAAAAUGUUUUGUGUCCAGGGAUGUUGUAUUUCAUGAGACUUCAUUUCCUUUUAGAACUGCCUCUACACCUUCCAUUUCUUCAUCUUCUUUUCCUUUUGUUUCUUCUCCUGAGCAGUCAUUUUCUGACACUGACCUGUCUAUUCAUGUUUCUACCUUUCUUUCUUCUCCUUAUGCUACUCCUUCUUCCUCUCCUAGUCCAUUACUUCCUCUGUUCCUCCAUCACUGCCUCCUCCUCCCACCCUUCCUGCUUCCAGCCCUCCUUUUAAUCAUGAUAUUCC